GCCCAGGUUUACUACCAAAUAUCACACCAACUCAGCCCAGGUUUACUCCUCUAUAUCACACCAACUCAGCCCAGGUUUACUCCUAUAUAUCACACCAACUCAGCCCAGGUUACCUCCUAUAUAUCACACCAACUCAGCCCAGGUUUAUUCCAAUAUAUCACACCAACUCAGCCCAGGUUUACUCCUAUAUAUCACACCAACUCAGCCCAGGUUUACUCCGAUAUAUCACACAAACUCAGCCCAGGUUACCUCCUAUAUAUCACAUCAACUCAGCCCAGGUUUGCUCCUAUAUAUCACACCAACUCAGCCCAGGUUUACUCCUAUAUAUCACACCAACCCAGCACAGGUUACCUCCUAUAUAUCACACCAACUCAGCCCAGGUUUACUCCUAUAUAUCACACCAACUCAGCCAAGGUUUACUCCUAUAUAUCACACAAACUCAGCCCAGGUUACCUUCUAUAUAUCACACCAACUCAGCCCAGGUUUACUCCAAUAUAUCACACCAACUCAGCCCAGGUUACCUCCUAUAUAUCACACCAACUCAGCCCAGGUUUACUCCUAUAUAUCACACCAACUCAGCCCAGGUUACCUCCUCUAUAUCACACCAACUCAGCCCAGGUUUACUCCUAUAUAUCACACCAACUCAGCCCAGGUUUACUCCUAUAUAUCACACCAACUCAGCCCAGGUUUACGCCUAUAUAUCACACCAACUCAGCCCAGGUUUACUCCUAUAUAUCACACCAACUCAGCCCAGGUUUACUCCUAUAUAUCACACCAACUCAGCCCAGGUUAACUCCUAUUUAUCAAACCAACUCAGCCCAGGUUUACUCCAAUAUAUCCCACCAACUCAGCCCAGGUUUACUCCAAUAUAUCCCACCAACUCAGCCCAGGUUUACUCCUAUAUAUCACACCAACUCAGCCCAGGUUAACU
rnacentral:lncRNA from 1 species